UACGAAGGGGGCUAGCGUUGUUCGGAAUUACUGGGCGUAAAGGGCGCGUAGGCGGCGUGUCAAGUCAGGCGUGAAAGCCCUGGGCUCAACCCAGGAAGUGCACUCGAAACUGGCGGGCUUGAAUAUGGAAGAGGGUCGCGGAAUUCCCGGUGUAGAGGUGAAAUUCGUAGAUAUCGGGAGGAACACCAGUGGCGAAGGCGGCCAGCUGGGCCGUCCCUGACGCUGAGGCGCGAAGGCGUGGGGAGCGAACGGG
rnacentral:rRNA from 1 species